GUUUUAAUCCUCACCUUCCCCUGCGUCCCUCACUCCUCCUGAGGCACUGUCUUCUAAUGAAUUGCUUGAAUUUCUCUGACUCUGCUUAAUUAGUGACUUUGGUGCAUUGUGUACAUUGAAAGAAAAAGACAAUGCAGUGAAUGAACGGUUGCUGCUACUGCUUUGUGCACACGGUGUGGAAAAUGACAGCUUGUCUAUAAUAACAUAGUGGAGUCAGGUCUGUAGUUGCCUGAAGGAGACAUGGCAGUCUCUCCCAAGAUGGAAGACUAGGGAAGGAGGUAGGUGAUCAGGAUGUCAAAAGGUUGCUAGAUAGUUCUAGUGUUGUAAUUACUAAUGAGAAUUCAUGAAUCAACUGCUCAGCCAGGGGCCCAUA
rnacentral:lncRNA from 1 species